rnacentral:rRNA from 1 species
UACGUAGGUGGCAAGCGUUGUCCGGAAUUACUGGGUGUAAAGGGAGAGUAGGCGGGAUUGCAAGUCCGUUGUUAAAUCUAUCGGCUUAACCGGUAGCUGCGGCGGAAACUGUAGUUCUUGAGUGAAGUAGAGGCAGGCGGAAUUCCUAGUGUAGCGGUGAAAUGCGUAGAUAUUAGGAGGAACACCAGUGGCGAAGGCGGCCUGCUGGGCUUUAACUGACGCUGAGGCUCGAAAGUGUGGGGAGCAAACAGG